AUGCUGUUCUUCCAGCGGGAAUUCGGUGGCGGUGAGCGAGCGACGGGAUGUACUAUGAUUGUAAAGCAGUCUCAAAGCAGUCAUGUUCCUUCUCAGGGCCAACAGUCACCUCCUUUGCCCUCUUUCCAGUGUCAUGGAAAUGAAAAAUCUUUUCUUUUUUCUCCUAAUCCCAAUAUGUUUCGGAUAAAUACAUGCCAUGUUGGAAAAACAUUUGGACCGCAGUGUUGGUUUGAGGUUGGCGAUUGCACCCGCUUUGGUAUUUCACUUAUGAGGUCACGCCAUUCAGUCAUGAAGUUUAUUUUGAAUUGGAAACAGCAGCAGCUGAGAAGCGCUUGACUCGUGUGCGGCCUGCAGACUCUAGAUGCAUUAAGCAGGUGAGCGCGUGUGUGUUUGCGGCUCUGUUGCCCCAGACAGGGCAGGGGCCUUGGGGUCAGAAACACAGGCCUCAUUUAGGAAGUGGUUCAUGACCAGCCUGGAAACUAUUAACAGGGCUGGUCUGUAUGCCACGCCACUGUUAGACCCAUUCAACUACCUCUACACUGGCCCAAACGGGACCUGAAUGCACUGAUUUUAGGGUGAAAUCUGAACUACAGAUUUCGGAUCUAUAGCACUUUUCACAUUGUUUUAAAGCAGCUGUAAAGUCUUAAUGUUAAUGUUUAUAAUAUCUUAAUAUUUUCAUGAUUUAUAGCCGCAUAGAUUAGAGCUGGGCGAUGAUAGAGUUUACAUUUUGCAACGAUAAAAGCAGUCAGGCAGUUGAGAUUUGCUGUAUAGUAAAUAUCACUUUACGUGAGUUCACUGUAUGUGUGUGUGCAGAUAAAGUUGGAUAAACUUGUAUUUACAACUUCAUAUAAAGAGCUGGGUGAUAAUUUAGUCACAUUUUUGCAACGAUAUGAACAAUGACAUCUGCACAGAUUUGCUAUAGCGUAUGUAGUUAUUAGCAGACUUGUCGCCACACCAGAAUUUUUGUAGUUACACUGAAAAAAAUUUGGAAGCAGUUUUCACUCAGAAAUUGCUGGUAAAUUUUACAAAAAUAA
ensembl:lncRNA